rnacentral:SRP_RNA from 1 species
UCUAGGCCUCGACCGUAAACCCCCUAUACGACGGGCCGAAAGCUGAGGUGAGGCGUCUAAGAGCGCCGGGCCUCCUCAACCACCGAACAGUGAACACCCGUCCCUUGGGGCCGGCGGUCGUGGGGCGUCCUCCGUAGGGAGGUCCGCCACCACGUUUACCAGACGAACCUGGCCAGGCCCGGGAGGGAGCAACCUAAGUCUGGACGUUCGGCGCUCAGGGGGGUGCGGGUGCGAGUGAGGGGUUGCCGGGGCUCGGUGAAAACUGGGCGUCGAGCCUCAGUGACCCGCCG